GUCGAAUUCUUUUAGUGUUGUAUUAGUGGUUGUAAAACUCGUUGGCUAACAUGAAACAUAUACUUUGCUUUUUGGUUAUCCUUGCACUAUUUGCGUGCAUGUUUGCCAUGCCUGCUGACGGUGACAAGAAAGAUCCACCACCACCACCACCAAAGUCGCCGAGUGCAAUAAACUAUUUCGAAAAGGGCGUGUCCGACUGGGCCACUGGCAUGCAAAAAUUAAUUCCUGGUAACUGGUAAUAAUCGAUGACGCAGCGGUUGCUAAUCACAAUAUGUAAUAGUUCAGAAUUAAACUGUUAGAAAAUAUA